rnacentral:rRNA from 1 species
GACGAACGCUGGCGGCGUGCUUAACACAUGCAAGUCGAACGGUGAAGCGCCUUCCUUUUUGGUGGGUGUGGAUGAGUGGCGAACGGGUGAGUAACACGUGAGUAACCUGCCCCCUUCUUCUGGAUAACCGCAUGAAAGUGUGGCUAAUACGGGAUAUUCUGGGUCUGUCGCAUGAUGGGUCUGGGAAAGAUAUUGUUUCGGUGGGGGAUGGGCUCGCGGCCUAUCAGCUUGUUGGUGGGGUGAUGGCCUACCAAGGCGGUGACGGGUAGCCGGCCUGAGAGGGUGGACGGUCACUCUGGGACUGAGACACGGCCCAGACUCCUACGGGAGGCAGCAGUGGGGAAUAUUGCACAAUGGGCGCAAGCCUGAUGCAGCGACGCCGCGUGAGGGAUGGAGGCCUUCGGGUUGUGAACCUCUUUCGCCAGUGAAGCAGGCCUGCCUCGUUUGUGGGUGGGUUGACGGUAGCUGGAUAAGAAGCGCCGGCUAACUACGUG